AGGGCACCACCAGGAGUGGAGCCUGCGGCUUAAUUUGACUCAACACGGGAAAACUCACCGGGCCCGGACACUGGAAGGAUUGACAGAUUGAGAGCUCUUUCUUGAUUCAGUGGGUGGUGGUGCAUGGCCGUUCUUAGUUGGUGGAGUGAUUUGUCUGGUUAAUUCCGAUAACGAACGAGACUCUAGCCUACUAAAUAGAUCGUCGGCUUACAAACGCCGGCGAGACUUCUUAGAGGGACAGGCGGUGAUUCAACCGCACGAAACAGAGCAAUAACAGGUCUGUGAUGCCCUUAGAUGUCCGGGGCCGCACGCGCGCUACACUGAAGUGAUCAGCGUGCUUUUUCAACCUACUCUGUCAAGAGUGGGGAACCCAAUGAACCUUCUUCGUGAUUGGGAUAGGGGAUUGUAAUUAUUCCCCUUGAACGAGGAAUUCCCAGUAAGCGCGAGUCAUAAGCUCGCGUUGAUUACGUCCCUGCCCUUUGUACACACCGCCCGUCGCUACUACCGAUUGAAUGUUUU
rnacentral:rRNA from 1 species